rnacentral:rRNA from 1 species
GACUCCAUGAAGCUGGAUUUGCUAGUAAUCGCGCAUCAGCCACGGCGCGGUGAAUACGUUCCCGGGCCUUGUACACACCGCCCGUCAAGCCAUGGAAGCCGGGAGUGCCUGAAGUACGCGACCGCAAGGAGCGUCCUAAGGUAAAACCGGUGACUGGGGCUAAGUCGUAACAAGGUAGC